UACGUAGGGGGCAAGCGUUGUCCGGAUUUAUUGGGCGUAAAGAGCUCGUAGGUGGUUCGGUAAGUCGGAUGUGAAAUCUCCAGGCUCAACCUGGAGGGGUCAUUCGAUACUGCCGUGACUAGAGGUCGGUAGGGGAGUGUGGAAUUCCUGGUGGAGCGGUGAAAUGCGCAGAUAUCGGGAGGAACACCCGUGGCGAAGGCGGCCAUCUGGACCAGCACGUGACGCUGACGGCAC
rnacentral:rRNA from 1 species